GACGAACGCUGGCGGCGUGCUUAACACAUGCAAGUCGAACGAAGAGCGAUGGAAUCUUGCUUCUAUCAAUCUUAGUGGCGAACGGGUGAGUAACGCGUAAUCAACCUGCCCUUCAGAGGGGGACAACAGUUGGAAACGACUGCUAAUACCGCAUACGAUAUAACCUUGGCAUCGAGGAUGGAUGAAAGGUGGCCUCUAUU
rnacentral:rRNA from 1 species